CCUACGGGAGGCAGGAGUGGGGAAUAUUGCACAAUGGGGGAAACCCUGAUGCAGCCAUGCCGCGUGUGUGAAGAAGGCCUUCGGGUUGUAAAGCACUUUCAGUUGUGAGGAAAAGUUAGUAGUUAAUACCUGCUAGCCGUGACGUUAACAACAGAAGAAGCACCGGCUAACUCCGUGCCAGCAGCCGCGGUAAUACGGAGGGUGCGAGCGUUAAUCGGAAUUACUGGGCGUAAAGCGCACGCAGGCGGUUUGUUAAGCUAGAUGUGAAAGCCCCGGGCUCAACCUGGGAUGGUCAUUUAGAACUGGCAGACUAGAGUCUUGGAGAGGGGAGUGGAAUUCCAGGUGUAGCGGUGAAAUGCGUAGAUAUCUGGAGGAACAUCAGUGGCGAAGGCGACUCCCUGGCCAAAGACUGACGCUCAUGUGCGAAAGUGUGGGUAGCGAACAGGAUUAGAUACCCUGGUAGUCCACACCGUAAACGCUGUCUACUAGCUGUGUGUGUCUUUAAGACGUGCGUAGCGAAGCUAACGCGCUAAGUAGACCGCCUGGGGAGUACGGCCGCAAGGUUAAAACUCAAAUGAAUUGACGG
rnacentral:rRNA from 1 species